CCUGAACAUAACUCUUUCGUGAAGAUUAUCAGAACUUCUGUGCCGUUGACAUCGGGGGCCACAGAGAACUGAUUCUACAACAAAGGAGGAAUGCCCCACAGCGAACCACAGCAGGACUCUUCUCCUGCCUUCUCUCAUUUCAGGGCAGAUUUAGGAAGGCUCCUGUGUCCCUGGUCCUGAGUGACAGUACAGGCAACUGGAGUGAAGAUCCCGCCACUGCUCAGAGGACUACUGCGCUGCUUACUACUGAUCCUAGGAAUCCCACAUCCUCUUUCUGGCCUCCAAUACUGACCAUCAAUACUUCUCAGACCCCCUUCUCACCACCUCAGUUCUCCUGAUUCAUUAAUAUGCUAUCCUCCCUCCUAUAAAGGAAAUAUACCUG
rnacentral:lncRNA from 1 species